rnacentral:rRNA from 1 species
GACGAACGCUGGCGGCGUGCCUAAUACAUGCAAGUCGAGCGGACCUUCGGGGUUAGCGGCGGACGGGUGAGUAACACGUGGGUAAUCUGCCCAACUGACUGGAAUAACGCCUGGAAACGGUGCUAAUGCCGGAUAGGCAACUGGUAGGCAUCUACCGGUUGGAAAGGUGCAACUGCACCGCAGAUGGAGGAGCCCGCGGCGCAUUAGCUAGUUGGUGGGGUAACGGCCUACCAAGGCGACGAUGCGUAGCCGACCUGAGAGGGUGGACGGCCACACUGGGACUGAGACACGGCCCAGACUCCUACGGGAGGCAGCAGUAGGGAAUCUUCCGCAAUGGGCGCAAGCCUGACGGAGCAACGCCGCGUGAGCGAAGAAGGCCUUCGGGUUGUAAAGCUCAGUCACUCGGGAAGAGCGGACGAGGGAGUGGAAAGCCCUCGUCGAGACGGUACCGAGAGAGGAAGCCCCGGCUAACUACGUG